UUCUAGAAAAUGGUUGUAAAUCUGACUU
rnacentral:piRNA from 1 species